UCCGAGUCCAGCUUUUCUAUCAGCGGGAUUCUGGGAAUCAGAAAACAGAGCAGCAAACAUAAAGAAGGAGGCGACGUCUCCUGCGGCGCGAACCACAACCAGCCAUGUUCCUGUUGUGAUACCUGGGGACGGUCGGACCCCUGCCUGACCUUUCACCCCAGCCUGCCAGCUAAUCAUGAUCCAAAUCUGUUGGACCCUUCAUGUCAGUACUGUGGAACAAGGCAGUGACAGAUCCGAGAAGAAAGAAUGUCCUCCUGUUAUUUCCAAAAAGCAAAAUGAUGUCAAAAUUAUAUGACUUGAAAUUGUAUUUAUCACCAACAUCAAGGCAGAAUCAUAACUACGAACAUGUUGAAAUAAAACUGAAAAGACAUGCCUCACAUUUCAUGUUUUAUUCACGUAAUUUGGAGCAUACACAUGCUGUUAUCUCAGAGGCCUAAUGGAGCUUCAUCA
ensembl:lncRNA